CCGGCUGAGGAGCAGAAUGGGCAUUCCCAGGAUCUAGGUCUUAAUACCAGAUGUUGUUCUAACCUUUACUGGGGAGAGCUGUGCUCACACGUCUAUUCAGCCCAGAAUGAUGGUUGAAGUGUUACAAGCAGAAGCAUUGAUGACUCAAAAGGCACAGUAUCACUGACAACCCCAACAUAUCACAAAUGAUGCCUCAUGGUGGCUGCCACCCUGGAGAUGGGAGAGUCAACUACAGGCAGCCUGGCUACUUGGUUUCCACUUGACUGACAGACAUAUCCAAGCAUCAUUUGCUGAUGACAACCUUCUCCAAAUGACUGUGACCUUGAACUUGCUGAAAACUGAUAUGGACCAAUCCAGCUGAUAUAAAUGCUAUUUCUUCAGCUGGUCAAUGAACCAGAUGAUUCUAAAUUCCCUUCUUGACUAGCAUUCUGGCUGUUAGGGCCCUGACAAUAACAUCCCAAUGUCAGCAGGAGAUAAUUACAGAAGCAAAAACAUCACAUUUGCGCCCCUCGCCCCCCCAUGUUAGAUCAAAAGGGAAUUUCUUGUCAUAGGGAACCUGAGAUAAAAUAAUAACUGGUUCCCAUUCUCAUUUCCAAGUUCCUUCAGGAUAAGAAACUCUGUUGGUCAUCAUAGGGCUUUUUUGGCCCUUCUGCUUCUGCUAAUUGCUAUUGGCUCUUACAUCAUUGAUGUCUUAACUAAAUGAUGAUUCCUGUCUGGGUACCAUUAAACUGAUGAUGCUAGAAUCCCAAUAUCAGGCCUUGGACCAAACCAAUGACACACUUGCAGAUGGCAACAACCAAAUAAGAGGAGGCACAGUUUGCUGUUGAUAAUGGGAAAUGGUCUCUGUUUGGAACCACCUUACAUGGCUAUUGCCACCUCUGUAAUCUCACUCCAAAUCCAAUGGGAGCCAGCUUCCUGAUCCCACUGGAGGAUACCUUAUGGACAUAUAUUUCUGGCUUCUUCCCCAAAGUUAAUGUUCCAAUUAUAGAUCAAAACAAAAAAACUCGUAUAUCCUGAUCCAAUUAGUCUCCAAAGAAAUCUAUUACCCUGAUGAUAAAGUCUUUUACCAAACAGAAACAUCUCCAAGAUUGGAGCUGAUAUACUACUCAAGGAGGAAUAAGAGGACCAAGCAGACUUCAUAACAGGCUGCUCAGUCUUUUCUCAGAGAUCAGGCCUCAGUUUCAGUUUCCUGAGACUGAGCAAGCAGUUUCUUAGAGGGCCAUGAACAGGGAGAUAGGACACAUCAAGCCUCGGCCACUGAGCCAACCCCUACUGAGCCAACCCCCUACAGAAGCUCAAGGAAAAAGCCUGGCAUUUAUCCAGUCCUGCCCCAAAAUGGAUAACUAUAACCCCCAACUAACCCUAACCAGUAAAAAGUUACUAAAAUGAUUGCCACUCAUACAAACAAAGAACCUGAAUGACCAAAGAACCCAUGGAGAAGCCACAAGUGACCUUCUAUCUCUUCUCUUCCUCCAUUCAAA